rnacentral:lncRNA from 1 species
UUUUUUAGAGCAAUUUAAUUUUAGGUGUGUUUAUUGAUAAAUUAUUAUGUGGUUUUAUAAAACUUUACAAGGCUUCAAUACUAAUUAGAUACUCGCAGCAAACAAAGCAAACAACAACAAAAAUAUGUGAACACAACAAACAAAAACCUAAACAAAUAAUAAAUAACAAAAAGAAAAGAAAAGGGGUAAAUAAAUCAAAAAAGGGGUAACCGAAGUCACCCCCAUUCCAGAGCCACAAAAGGGAUAGAAAUCCCUAAAACUAAAAAACCAUCUUCUUCUCCUUUCUCUUUCGCGUGGUGGAGAUGGCCACUAUAGCAAGGCGCGGUGGUGAUCGUUGUGCCUUGUCGGAAACUUCGAUCCAAGCUUCUGUCCCGUUCCCCGAAUCUCCUAGCGGUUCACCGUGGAAAUGAGGUGGAAACGAUGGUAGUGCGAAUCCUUCUUCUCCAUCCCUUUCACGGCGAGGAGAAUGGAACUCUCCCAACUCCGUUUUCAUCCUUUUCAAUGCCAGCUUCAAAUUGAUGGAGGAAGACAAUAAUGUCAAUCCUCCAAGGCUUUCUCGGCUAAGACCUGGUCUCAAAAACCACCACCCCGAAUUUGAAUCGAGUGGUUCACGACGGCUCAGCCUCCCUCCGAUGGGUUAUGGUNN